rnacentral:rRNA from 1 species
UACGAAGGACCCAAGCGUUAUCCGGAUUUAUUGGGUUUAAAGGGUGCGUAGGCGGAUUAUUAAGUCAGUGGUGAAAGCCUGCAGCUUAACUGCAGAACUGCCAUUGAUACUGAUGAUCUUGAGUAUGAUUGAGGUGGGCGGAAUGUGUCAUGUAGCGGUGAAAUGCUUAGAUAUGACACAGAACACCGAUUGCGAAGGCAGCUCACUAAGCCAUAACUGACGCUGAUGCACGAAAGCGCGGGGAGCAAACAGG